rnacentral:lncRNA from 13 species
GUUUCUUUAGAACAGUGUCAGAACCACUGUGGGUGGUUGUUAAAAUGGAGAUUCCUGGAAUUCAACCCAGGUCUACGAAUCAAAAUCUUGUGCUGAUUCAGGAAUCUUCCAUAAAUAUAAGUCUCACAAACACUUUUGUGAAUCUCUGCCAGAUGCCACCAACUUGUUCUCAGGGACAAACACCACACCUAUGCUACUGUUUUGGGAGAGAAUUGACCCUGGCCUGA